rnacentral:lncRNA from 1 species
CAGUUCAAUUAAUGGGUGUAAGUUAUGGUGCGAACGCAGUAGAGAUUGUUUUGAGAGUUCUGUUCGGUUUAAAUGCUUGGUUGCAUGAACCGAAGAUACGGUUCCCAGAACCGAGAGAGCGGUCGCAUGAACCAAACAAUACGGCCGAUAUUGAACACCGAACAUUCGGUUCAUACGACCGAACUUUUUUUCUCAGUGCACAAGUAAUAUAAGAAGAGGGGAAAAAAAGAUAAUCAAGAAGUAAUACUGUACACCCAGUUAGAAGGCAAACGUGGCCGGCAACAGUCCUACCUCUCCUAAAAGGAUAAAACUAGCCCAAAAUGAAGAUGAACACCCCCAGUGUUGCAAGACCCAAAUGUUGCACUCAGACACUGAUAAGUCCGAUGAUUCAACUAGUCAUGUGUCAGCCACAGCAACUCAUCAAGAGGCGAAAUUAGCUGCCCUUUUGGCGGAGGAUUUAACAGACAUUGAGUCUGAAGCUGAAACAACUUUUCACAGCAUUGAAAAUUCACAAGAGAAAGAUGAUCCAUCUGGAAGCUCAUGUAAAGAUAAGGAUGCAGAUAGUCACAAGGAUUCAUGUGAAGAGAAGGAGUUGCAGGAAGGCGAGCCAAGCCUAAAGAAAAUCAAAAUACAGCGGGUAGCAAACCCAACGAUUGAAGAUAUUUACAGUUUACUUUAUGAAAAUACCAAAAUGGUAUCGAAACAUUUGAAAGGCCAUGAUACUCAGCAGGCGACCGUCCAAAGCAGCGGCCAACGCAACAGAGUCAAUAUUACUCUCACCGGGAAGGAAGAUAUUGAAAGAAUGGAAAAACAAUUAAGAGAAUCUGCAGAAUAUGCUGAAAAAGUGAAAAUGGAGUUUUUACUACUUGGUGGAAUCGACGGAAGGGAUUUGCUCAUUAGAAUCCUUAAAAAAUUGCUCCCUCCCGCUGUUUGUAACCAAAUGACCCUCAAAGGUGCCAUGAGAAAGCAGGUGCGCAAAUUCAAAUUCAUGGACUCGAAGAUUCAAACUGUAAUAUUCGGUCAGUGUUAUUUACCUAUUUUCACAGUGGGCUUGAACGAAUUCCAAAUGGAGGAAUGAGAAACCUCAUUUCUGGAAACGAGCAAUUACAGGUGAAACACCUUACAAAAACAUCUUUGGUUAAACUAAAAUUAUCCAUUCGUCCAGUUUUUUUCGGUUGUUUACUUCCCUCCCCGAAAAUGUGUGUUUAAUGUAAAUCAUUACAAUUUGCCUUAAGAAAGUAAUCAAGAAAAGUAUGAACAACAAGGGUCACCCCUUUCCGUACCAACAUAGAGUUGAAAUUUUUACAUUUUGAUCCAUGGCAAUAAAAAUUAUGUGGCUGAAAUUUCCAAAACCCCACAACAUUUUCUCUUCCCGCUGCAGCAUUGCCAAAUUGAGAUUCUUAAAAUUAAAUUACUGAAGAAUUCAUGUAUCACAAAAAUGACCAUUUAUGAAAAUAAAAAUUAUUAGGGCCAGAGGGAGCGCCUCCUAUAGCUCUAUGGACUUGUCAGGAGACACUUGACUUUUGGACGGGUCAGUCCGUCGUAAUUCAGUUAAAAUGAAAAGACAGAUUUGUUUUAUAAUAAAUAUGUUUUAUCUUUACUCCAGUUAAUUUUUAGGUAGUAUACAUUAUGUUAAAUCUUAGUUAAUAGCUAGUAUAAUUUAAGCUAAACUAAAAUUAAGCGUUUUAAAGACUUAUGUACGUCUAAAUGCAUCCUCUGUACAAUUGGUAUUCAUUUUUUUGUGCAAAUAAAAAAAAAAAAAAAAAAAAAAAAAAAAAAAAAAAAAAAAAAAAAAUACCAUGCUUAGAGCAUGAGGAAACAGAGGAUCUAUAGAAAUACCUUGUUUACAACCAUACUCAUCCAUCUUAUCACAAAUAAUUACUCAAUUGUGUAAACUACAUUUCUUCUCUUUACAGAAUAUUGAUACAUCUGCAGAUUAAGGAACCUCUAGGCUAAGUAACGGAAACUCCAAGUUGCAGAGAGGAGCCUGAAGAAAAAUUAGAAGUUCAACAGAGUCAUUCAAAAGGAGAAAGCUUGAGGUUGAAUCAGCCACCCAGCCUAUGCUUAUAGUCACCGUUGACCCUCUUCUCUUAAGUCGCAUAGUAACUGGUUUAAUCCCACCCUGCUUAAAAGAAUAUGAUUUAGAUCUGGCAACAGAGAAAGAAAAGGAGGAGCUAAAAGAUGGUCCGGAAAAAUUGUUACAAUCAACAGUUGAAGGGACAUGGGUCCUAACCACUCUCCUUUCCCGCCGAUGGUAUACCUGGAGGGAAUUCCGGCGCGACCUUGACUCAAGGAGUCACCUAAUCUUUUCUUUUUCUUUAUGUCUCUUUUUUGAUAUGUAUUUCUUUUUUAUAUCAUUUAUUAUUCUUACUUAUAUUUGUUGUUUUCUUUACUCUGCAAUUAAUUGCAGUCCUUGUAUUUAUAUUCUUGUAAUCAUUGAUAAUAAAGGUCGUAAAAAAAAAAAAAAAACUGCUCUCCUUAAAGAACAAAGAAGUGAAAAGGCCCGCGAAAGUCUCUGUCGCAUUUUGCUAAGCUACGGUGUCAAUAAUUCCGUAGUAAAAGACCAGAUAAUUACCAACAAGUUCAAAUAUUUGGCUCUUGCAGUCAAGGCGUUAUUUCCCGCUGAAAGUCAGUUUACGAAUACUAUGUGCCGCAGGUAGGAACGAAAGGCCCUAAAGGAAAACUCUACUGGAAGUACACAUCUCAGCGGUCCAAGUUCAAAAGCCCAGGGCUUGCUGGAAAAAGAACCCGCACCCACUCUGCUGCAGAAAACAGUAAUCUGAUACGCACUCCGGAUUGGAGUAAAGGUGGUAGUGAGUGUUUAUUUAUGUUUCUAUAAUUAACCUUUUUUUAGUGCGGCUCCCUUUAUAAAACUAAGGAAAAAUGAUCCUAAAUAUUUUGAUGUAUUUUGUCCAUGUAAAGGGGUAUGGAAGGAAAAAGUAUAAAAGCAUUUUAUAUCAGAUCUCACGGGAUUUUUAAAAAAUCCAUUAUAAAAAUUAGAAAUUUCAACUCAAAAAGUAAAAAUACCUCCAUACUACACAUUAUCCCAAUGAUUUUAAUUUCAAUUGAUCCUGGUGUGAUAAUUAUUUAAAUCUAAAUAGUUUAUGAAAACAUUCAUAUGUGGAAUUAAAGAUAACUUUAGAUAAGUUUUUAGAUUAUAUAGCGGUGAGCAAUAAAUCGGUCGCGACCCUGUGCGGUUUCAUAGGUAGUCAAUUAAUUUUUGUUCAGUCUACGUGUGUUUUAUUUUUUAUUUUUCCGGAUUUUAAUAUUUUAACGUGUCUCGCAAUUUUGAACGCGCACAAUGUUUUAGUGCUAGUCAAAUAAAUGUUUGUGGCCUGAUGAAGGAAAUAAUUUUUCCGAAAUGUACAUCGCUUAGGACACGGCGAAUUGCUCAAAAAAAAACCGGAACGAAAAGAUAACUUACAGGUAAUAAUACCCAAACCUGGUAAAAUGAAAAACCCAUAUAAUUCAAUAAAAAGGAUUCACUUGAUCUGGUGAGUUGAAUCAAAAUUUAUGGUGCCAUUUUUUGUAAGUAGUAGUCAAUUCACUCAGCCAAAAUAUUGUUUUGUACAGACUUCAAUUUUUUUAUUGUGUCGUAAUGCUCCUUGUUCUUUUUGAGACUUUUCAAUUUUUUGUGAUGCCUCUUACAGGACACCGUCAGACAAAAUGGCAACUUAAUGGCAGUAACAAGUUGAAAAGCGCUGACUCUGCCGGUAAGUAAUCGCACCUAACACAUUGUGGUCGGCGCGAAGGAAACUGCAUAAAUACUUCACUUGUUGCGCGUACACCACAGUGCGCUCUUGACACAUAUUAGCGCCUAAAAGACUGCGGGAAUACUUCAUGCAUUACACUUUCCACACAAAAUUCUUUAUUUCUGAUCUACCGCUUAACGCGGUGUGCACCACUGCACCAUUUCCGACCAGUUCACAACGCGAGCCUGCAAUCUAUAAUUGAAUUACAGAAUGUAACGUCCGUUUCUUUGUUUGGACUAACUCUAAAUAUAAUUUCAAACACCUGAUAUCUAAUGAAUUUCUUCCCUAACCAACACAAUUUCCAAAAAAAUCGAUUGUAAAAACCGCUCGCACCGACCUACUUCGUCCACAAAAUCCAAGGUACCCGAAAUGCGACCACCUCCUUCUUUUCCUCUAUGCGCCUCUCGUGCUGAGGCCAAUUCUGCCGUGUUAAACAAGAACGCCGUAAAUUCAUAAAGAUUUUUCUUCGUUUUUUGGAACUUAACACUUGAUAAAAUGAAAACUGUUUUACCCAUGCACCUCAAUUUUUUAGGUUAAGUUCUUGAGAGUAUUAGCUGAAGAAUCCUGUGAGAACAUUGUGCCAAGGUACACAAGUUUUUCUCUGCCGACGUAUGCCUUAAGGCGGAUUCCGGCAUCGCGAACCUACAACCGAGUUGAAUUAAGUAGUUAUUGUACUUAUUAUUUUCACCUCAACCGAGUCAAUCUUUGUAAUUUAUAGUCCUCAUAAUUAUUUUAUUCAGAUAAAUUUUAUUUCUGCUGUCUGCUUUACAUCUUUGCUUAAAAUGUAGUUGUUUGGUAGUUUGUGCAUGUAUUUUAUUUAUUUUUGUUAGUUUCAUGCUUGUUUAUAGUUCUGCCCUGAAGAUGUCUGAGUGUAGACGAAAAGCUUCGGCGAUGUAUUAACUGAAUAAACUGAACACAGCUAAACGGCUAUUCUCCUCCUUUACCUACUCAUAAUUAUUGUCUCUUUAAAUCUUAUUUCACCACUUUCAUUGUAAGUGUAAAUGUAUUAUGCUCUGUAUCUUGCGAUAAUAAACAAAAAAAAAACACAAAAAAAAACAAGUUUUUUUGCUAGGAUACAUUGUUUCCAUAAAAUGUAAAAUGGCGUUUACGGCGUUUUUGCAUUGCACGGCAGAAUUGUAGACCACGCUCUAUUCCACCGAUUUCGUUAAGCCUCUGCACACGAAUUUUUCAUCCUAUCAUUUAUCUCCCACGUUAAAUUAAUACCGAACAAAAGGUCGUUGGCCAGAACACGCCGAAGAUUACCAGCGGGGCCUCGGUCGCAUU